CUCGUCGGUGCAGUGGUUGCUGCGCUGUGCGGCCUGGGCGGCCGCGUCGACCGUGGGCGAGCCGGCGCCGGCCCAGCCGACGGUC
rnacentral:tRNA from 1 species